rnacentral:rRNA from 1 species
AAUAGAUACCCUGGUAGUCCUAGCUGUAAACGAUGAGCACUAGAUCGUAGGUCUGCACAGACUUAUGGUCGUAGCGAAAGUGUUAAGUGCUCCGCCUGGGGAGUAUGGUCGCAAGGCUGAAACUCAAAGAAAUUGACGGGGGCUCACACAAGCGGUGGAGGAUGUGGCUUAAUUCGAGGCUACGCGAAGAACCUUAUCCUGGUCUUGACAUGUUUUAGAACUCUCCUGAAAGGGAGAGGUGCCCGCAAGGGAGCUAUUGCACAGGUGCUGCAUGGCUGUCGUCAGCUCGUGUCGUGGGAUGUCGGGUUAGGUCCCUUAACGAGCGAAACCCUUGUCACUAGUUGCCAGCGAGUAAAGUCGGGGACUCUAGUGAGACUGCCGGUGUUAAACCGGAGGAAGGUGGGGAUGACGUCAAGUCCUCAUGGCCCUUAUGACCAGGGCUGCACACGUCCUACAAUGGCGCGUACAAAGCGAUGCAAACUCGUGAGAGCCAGCAAAAUCCGCACAAAGCGCGCCUCG